rnacentral:lncRNA from 1 species
AAAUAUUGGGCUAUCCGUUUAGCAUCAAACUUUUCAAAACGCUGUUAUGACAUGGUCUCGCCCUCUCUAAAUGCCGGCCGUGCCGUGUCCAUUCUUGUUGCCGCCCUCUCAGGUCCCGCUACCGACCAAUUCCAUCCAGCUAAGAAACUCUAAUUACUAUGUCCUCUCUUUCAAAGCAAACUCUAAUUCUUCCUUUCUUCAGACUUCUUAUGAUAACAAGAAAGGCGAUAGCUGUUAUGUGUUCUCUCUUUGGAUGAUUUUGUGUGCCAGAAUCUGACGUCGUCGCUUUCCCUCUGGCUGUGGCAUUUUUCUGGUUAGUUUGUACUUCGGUAUUCUUCUGUAGCUGAAAUUUUAAGUCACAGUUCUAUUGGAUAAUCAAAAUUCUUCAGGCUUGCUUUAUUUAUAGACCACUUCUUUUUUCAAUUAGCCAGUAGUGGUGAAUGUUGCUGUCAUGGGAUAAAGUUUGUUGCCAUGUGAUCAGGAGGUAACGGGUUCGAGCCGUGGAAGCCGUCUCUUGCAGAAAUGCACGGUAAAGCUGC